AUUUUUUUCAGCUGCACCCUCAAUCCAUCAACGAAGCGAUCUUGGGAUUCCUGUAAAAUGUGACAGUGGAUUUGUAAAGCAAAAUUCUUUACUGGAUAAUUCGAAAUUGAAGGCUGAAUUGAAGCUGUUUGCAGUGUUUUCACAAACACUAAAGUAAAUGAAGUUGAAAGCAUUAUUAGAGGCUGGUUGUGCCAUGCUAAAGAAAGAAGAGUUUAUUCUG